AAACCUCAUAUCUUCGUCACUGUUGGUUGUCUUUGUGGCUUCAAUAGCAGUCUCAAUCUUCAUUCUAACGUCAUUCAACUGUUUCGUAGUGAAACGUUGUCUCAAUCGUCAUUUAACUCGCUGAUAGUGUAUUUCUGCUUUUGCAAUUACAAAUUAUCAGAUGACACUAUAAGCCUUUCCCGCUUUCGGAUAUUUUUGUUUGGCAUAGCUUCAAGGUCUAGCUAGUGCAUUGAUAAAGCUGUGGAACCUCUCGGAGACACCUGUCAUUGAGCAAAGAAAAUUUGACCAUGUCACUAGUUUGGCUUCUUCCUCAAUUGACGAAGUUGUGAGACAAGGAUGCCUUGCUCUAGAUGUUGUUGAGCAAAUAAUCUGAAAGCCAGGGAGAUGAAAGAGUUGGUAUUCAAGAGGCAAAAUGAGCUUGAAGAAAUCUACUGAGGGGUUCAUAUGGAUGUAGAAAGUGAUCAGCAUGACAGAUUAUUCUCAUCAGCUUGAUAGGUUCAGGUCUUAAUCCUAUUUUUGAGUUGAUUAAAUCUAACCUGAAUUAAUUGAAGUAUCUAGUUUUUUGUUAUGCACUUAUUAUAGAACUUUCACUCUUUUCUGUUUUGGAUGAAAUCAAAUUGCAUUUGACUGCUA